AUUGAACGCUGGCGGCAGGCCUAACACAUGCAAGUCGAGCGGAUGAAGGGAGCUUGCUCCUGGAUUCAGCGGCGGACGGGUGAGUAAUGCCUAGGAAUCUGCCUUGUAGUGGGGGAUAACGUCCGGAAACGGGCGCUAAUACCGCAUACGUCCUGAGGGAGCAAGUGGGUGAUCUUCGGUCCUCACGCUAUCAGAUGAGCCUAGGUCGGAUUAGCUAGUUGGUGGGGUAAAGGCCUACCAAGGCGACGAUCCGUAACUGGUCUGAGAGGAUGUUCAGUCACACUGGAACUGAGACACGGUCCAGACUCCUACGGGAGGCAGCAGUGGGGAAUAUUGGACAAUGGGCGAAAGCCUGAUCCAGCCAUGCCGCGUGUGUGAAGAAGGUCUUCGGAUUGUAAAGCACUUUAAGUUGGGAGGAAGGGCAGUAAGUUAAUACCUUGCUGUUUUGACGUUACCAACAGAAUAAGCACCGGCUAACUUCGUG
rnacentral:rRNA from 1 species